UACGUAGGGGGGCAAGCGUUGUCCGGAAUUAUUGGGCGUAAAGCGCGCGCAGGCGGUCCUUUAAGUCUGAUGUGAAAGCCCACGGCUCAACCGUGGAGGGUCAUUGGAAACUGGGGGGACUUGAGUACAGAAGAGAAGAGUGGAAUUCCACGUGUAGCGGUGAAAUGCGUAGAGAUGUGGAGGAACACCGAUGGCGAAGGCAGCCCCCUGGGCCAACACUGACGCUCAGGCACGAAAGCGUGGGGGAGCAAACAGG
rnacentral:rRNA from 1 species